UACGAAGGGUGCAAGCGUUACUCGGAAUUACUGGGCGUAAAGCGUGCGUAGGUGGUUUGUUAAGUCUGUUGUGAAAUCCCCGGGCUCAACCUGGGAACUGCAUCCGAAACUGCCUUGCUAGAGUAUGGGAGAGGGAAGUGGAAUUUCCGGUGUAGCGGUGAAAUGCGUAGAUAUCGGAAGGAACAUCAGUGGCGAAGGCGACUUCCUGGACCAAUACUGACGCUCAGGUGCGAAAGCGUGGGGAGCAAACAGG
rnacentral:rRNA from 1 species